rnacentral:rRNA from 1 species
CGGGAAACUACGGCUAAUACCGCAUGAUGCCUGAGGGCCAAAGCGAAAGUCGUUUGAGGAGGAGCCUGCGUCUGAUUAGGUAGUUGGUGGGGUAAAGGCUACCAAGCCUACGAUCAGUAGCUGGUCUGAGAGGAUGAUCAGCCACAUUGGGACUGAGACACGGCCCAAACUCCUACGGGAGGCAGCAGUGGGGAAUAUUGGACAAUGGGCGCAAGCCUGAUCCAGCAAUGCCGCGUGGGUGAAGAAGGUCUUCGGAUUGUAAAGCCCUUUUGGCGGGGACGAUGAUGACGGUACCCGCAGAAUAAGCUCCGGCUAACUUCGUG